GCCUCACUGCCCACAUUUAGUGCUCUGAUUUCUUCAAGGGCCUUUCCCUGGGUCCUGCAGACUUCGUGGUUGCACACCCGGGGACAUUUGUACAGCAACGGUGCCACCGUUCCCUGGAGUCCUAGAUGGGCUCGCGUCAGUUCCGAAACAGGUCACAAUAAAUUUUAUAAGCUUUUCAGAUAAUUUCAGAAGAAAUUAUAGUCGAAAAAAAUGUCAUUUAAGAACUAGUGAUAUUCAUCAACAAUUUGCAUUCACCUUGGUAAAAUAUCUACUGUUUGUCUCUGAGGCAACAGGUGUCUUUUUCUGGAUCACCAAGAGCCGUUAACAAGCAGCAGCCAUGAAGUACCGCCAAGCUGGAAGGAACUCUCAUUCGUCUACAAGAACCGACAGUUUGAGAAACAAAUGCCUCUGACUCCACAGUGUAUUUGUUCUAGAAAUAAGUACUGUUCUAAUUUAAAAAAAGAAAGAAACAAAAAGACCAAGACAGCCUUUCUGCAUCCAAAAAAAGCUCAAUUUAAAAAAAAAUAUUAGAUUAAAACACAGCUGUUCAAAUACAUUAUUUUCAAAUAUUUUGGAUCUGAAGAAUGUUUGCCUAAAGGAACUUUUCCAUCUCCUCGCACACAACAUUCCGUCUGGCCCCGAAGGUGCUGAAAUUCCUCCAGGAAGCUGCUGGCAGGGUUUCUGUUUCGUUAGCAAAAGGGAUUCUGAAAUCCGCGUACCCUGAACUCAGGGCAACGUCCACAAUGAGAAGUAUGGAAAAUGACAGUUACAGCUAUUUACGGCAGAUGUACAGAUUUCAGGUGAAAACCAGAGGUAAUUUUUUUAAAUACAAAGUGAUGAUUCCAAAUAUUUUUAAAUUCUAGUUUUGCUUUUCUUCUUCUUAUAAGAGAUUAUAUACCCAAGGUAGCAGAAUUAGAAAAC